CUGGAGACAGACCACCUCCUAUUGAUGAAUUCACUUUAACAUCAAUUAAUAAUUCCAGUGCUAUAUUAUUUGGAGGUGACACUGCUAAUAGAGACAGUAACAAUGUAUAUAUUCUUAAUUUUACUGAUGCAUCAGUGAAUUGUUCAAAGUUAUCUAAUCCUAGAGGAUCAGUACAAUGGCCUGAGGAAAGACGUUCUCAUUCUAGUGUAUUGAUUAACACUAGCUCAGGACCACACCUACUAGUGGUGGGUGGAACUUUUAAUUACGAUAUUUGGAUAUUUGAUAUUAACAAUAAAUCAUGGAAGAAACUGUUUCAUGUACCAAAAAAUGUCACUAAGAGAUGGUGUCAUUCUCUCUCAGUUUGGAGUGUGACUCCAACCACUAACUGGAUAAUUGUGUUUGGAGGAAAGAAGGACUAU